AGAACUCUCAGCUUCCAUGUCUGCCUGCUUGCUGUCAUGCUUCACUCAAUGAGGAUAAUGGAUUAAAUCUCCGAAAUUGUCUACAAGAUGGUCCAAGAAGUUCCUAUUGCUUGAAGAGAUGAAUCUAUGUCUGUAACACAUUUUGCAAACCUUCAGCCAGGAGUUAAGAAGAUCCUUUGGAACUGGAGUUACAGACAGUUGGAGCUGCCUGAUGUGGGUGCUGGGAAGUAAGCCUGGGUCUUCUAUAAGAACAAAAGAUGCUCUUAACUCUCAAGGCAUCUCUCUAGCCCCAUGUUCUGUUAACUAUAAAAACCUCAUGAAGCUGUUACCAUGUGGAAAUAUAAUAUUUGGUCAAACUGAAUCUGUUCCGAGGUGUACUGGCUAGUUUUGUGUCAACUUGACACAGCUGGAGUUAUCACAGAGAAAGGAGC
rnacentral:lncRNA from 1 species